rnacentral:rRNA from 1 species
AUGAACGCUGGCGGCGUGCCUAAUACAUGCAAGUCGAGCGAAUGGAUUAAGAGCUUGCUCUUAUGAAGUUAGCGGCGGACGGGUGAGUAACACGUGGGUAACCUGCCCAUAAGACUGGGAUAACUCCGGGAAACCGGGGCUAAUACCGGAUAACAUUUUGAACCGCAUGGUUCGAAAUUGAAAGGCGGCUUCGGCUGUCGCUUAUGGAUGGACCCGCGUCGCAUUAGCUAGUUGGUGAGGUAACGGCUCACCAAGGCAACGAUGCGUAGCCGACCUGAGAGGGUGAUCGGCCACACUGGACUGAGACACGGCCCAGACUCCUACGGGAGGCAGCAGUAGGGAAUCUUCCGCAAUGGACGAAAGUCUGACGGAGCAACGCCGCGUGAGUGAUGAAGGCUUUCGGGUCGUAAAACUCUGUUGUUAGGGAAGAACAAGUGCUAGUUGGAAUAAGCUGGCACCUUGACGGUACCUAACCAGAAAGCCACGGCUAACUACGUGCCAGCAGCCGCGGUAAUACGUAGGUGGCAAGCGUUAUCCGGAAUUAUUGGGCGUAAAGCGCGCGCAGGUGGUUUCUUAGUCUGAUGUGAAAGCCCACGGCUCAACCGUGGAGGGUCAUUGGAAAACUGGGAGACUUGAGUGCAGAAGAGGAAAGUGGAAUUCCAUGUGUAGCGGUGAAAUGCGUAGAGAUAUGGAGGAACACCAGUGGCGAAGGCGACUUUCUGGUCUGUAACUGACACUGAGGCGCGAAAGCGUGGGGAGCAAACAGGAUUAGAUACCCUGGUAGUCCACGCCGUAAACGAUGAGUGCUAAGUGUUAGAGGGUUUCCGCCCUUUAGUGCUGAAGUUAACGCAUUAAGCACUCCGCCUGGGGAGUACGGCCGCAAGGCUGAAACUCAAAGGAAUUGACGGGGGCCCGCACAAGCGGUGGAGCAUGUGGUUUAAUUCGAAGCAACGCGAGGAACCUUACCAGGUCUUGACCUCCUCUGACAACCCUAGAGAUAGGGCUUCUCCUUCGGGAGCAGAGUGACAGGUGGUGCAUGGUUGUCGUCAGCUCGUGUCGUGAGAUGUUGGGUUAAGUCCCGCAACGAGCGCAACCCUUGAUCUUAGUGCCAUCAUUAAGUUGGGCACUCUAAGGUGACUGCCGGUGACAAACCGGAGGAAGGUGGGGAUGACGUCAAAUCAUCAUAGCCCCUUAUGACCUGGGCUACACACGUGGCUACAAUGGACGGUACAAAGAGCUGCAAGACCGCGAGGUGGAGCUAAUCCCGUAAAACCGUUCUCAGUUCGGAUUGUAGCGCUGCCAACUCGCCUACAUGAAGCUGGAAUCGCUAGUAAUCGCGGAUCAGCAUGCCGCGGUGGAAUACGUCCCGGGCCUUGUACACGACCGCCCGUCACACCAGACGAGAGUUUGUACACACCGAAGUCGGUGGGGUAACCUUUUUGGAGCCAGCCGCCUAAGGUGGGACAGAUGAUUGGGGUG